CGGCGAGUGAAGCGGCAACAGCUCAAAUUUGAAAUCUGGCCCUUGGGUCCGAGUUGUAAUUUGUAGAGGAUGCUUUUGGCGAGGUGCCUUCCGAGUUCCCUGGAACGGGACGCCAUAGAGGGUGAGAGCCCCGUCUGGUCGGACACCGAGCCUCUGUAAAGCUCCUUCGACGAGUCGAGUAGUUUGGGAAUGCUGCUCAAAAUGGGAGGUAUAUGUCUUCUAAAGCUAAAUAUUGGCCAGAGACCGAUAGCGCACAAGUAGAGUGAUCGAAAGAUGAAAAGCACUUUGAAAAGAGGGUUAAAAAGUACGUGAAAUUGUUGAAAGGGAAGCGCCUAUGACCAGACUUGGGCCCGGUGAAUCAUCCAGCGUUCUCGCUGGUGCACUUUGCCGGGCACAGGCCAGCAUCA
rnacentral:rRNA from 1 species